GGCGCUAUCGUCUAGAGGCCCAGGACACCGCCCUCUCAAGGCGGAGACACGGGUUCGAAUCCCGUUAGCGCUACCA
rnacentral:tRNA from 1 species